GGUGCUCAUAGCUCUCUUUGUCCAGUGCUUCGGCCUUGGUCCCAGCGCCUUCCCACGGAGCAGCACUCUUCGCCCCGCACAGCCUUGUUAGGAGAAGGGGAUGAAUGAAUACAGGACUUUUGCGUCUGCUGUGGCCCAGCUGGCUUCCAGAUGGUGACAUGAGCCGCCCACAGCCGGAGCUGUUCCUCUUUCCCAAAGCUCAGACGGAGUCUUGCUGUGGUGCCCAGGCUGGAGUGCAGUGGCACGAUCUCAGCUCACUGCAACCUCCUCCUCCCAGGACAUUUGGGUCCUUUCCAGUUUUCUUCAAACAAUGCUUCAGUGAACAUGCUUGCACAUAUAUUUUUGUGUUUGUUGUUCUUACAGAUACAGCGCUAGGAAAAGGGGAGUAAUUCAGGUCUAGAAUGGAAAAACUGUUUUGUUGCUUUCCCAACAGCAUGGUGGUGGAACACCCCGAGUUCCUCAAGGCAGGGAAGGAGCCUGGCCUGCAGAUCUGGCGUGUGGAGAAGUUCGAUCUGGUGCCCGUGCCCACCAACCUUUAUGGAGACUUCUUCACGGGCGACGCCUACGUCAUCCUGAAGACAGUGCAGCUGAGGAAUGGAAAUCUGCAGUACGACCAGACAGAUGGCCUGGGCUUGUCCUACCUUUCCAGCCAUAUCGCCAACGUGGAGCGGGUGCCCUUCGACGCCGCCACACUGCACACCUCCACUGCCAUGGCCGCCCAGCACGGCAUGGAUGAUGAUGGCACAGGCCAGAAACAGAUCUGGAGAAUUGAAGGUUCCAACAAAGUGCCCGUGGACCCUGC
rnacentral:sRNA from 1 species